UUACGUCUCAGUAGAAGUGAAGUACAAACAGUGCAACAUCAACUCACUUCGGUAUUGUCUCCUGUAGGGGUGUGAGGAAAACAGUUACCCCACAAGAAGCUGAUCACAUGUCUAGCAAACUUUAGAUCAGACAGCAAGCCAGACAAAAGACCUUUUAGGAAGCUAAAUCCCUGCACUACACAAAGGACGCAUCCAAAACUCCCCUGAUAUUUUACUUCGUACCUCCUGAGAGACUUUUCCGUAGCAGUUUCUCCUCAGUUCCACUCCCCUACACAAGGCCCGCGUGCAACCAAGCUCUCCAGAGCCUAGCUUUAAGGGCUCUGACCAUGUGUCCACCUAAAUAACUGCGUUGUCUGCGGGGGGCCAACGAGCCCAAUGAGGUGUGGUUUCAGAAUCAGCAGCAGCUGUUGCUCCUCUCAGUAGCAGAGUCACACACAGGUAAUUGUGAGGUGCUAACAGCUGCGUAGUGCGCGAGCUCCAUCAGGGUUGUCUGCGGGGGGCCAACGAGCCCAAAUUGAGGCGUGGUCGCAGAAACAGCAGCAGCUGUAGCCCUUCUCAGCACCAGAGUCGCACAGAGGUAAUUGUGAGGUGCUAACUGCUGCGUGAUGCGCGAGUUCCAUCACGGGUCAGCUGCUUCUGGGCAGGAGCAGCGGACGGGUCUGCCUUCAGAAGCGCCAGGUGAAGGCCGAUGGACGAGCUUAUCGUUCGAGAUGCACGCCAUUCCUCUUUCAUCUUUUCUUGGGGAGGAAGCAUAGAUGUGACAACACUCAAUUUUCAGCCACUUCUGCAGUGUUCUUCUAACUGAGAAGCAGGAGAUGUCAUUUACUAGCAGGUCUGGCAACGUUACAUUUCCAGGGCAUUACUAAAACAAAACACAAGAUCCCUGAAAACUGAAAUAUGGUCAAGAAGAACAACUGUCUGUUAACUUAGGUGCAAAAGGAAAAUGUCAUGCAGAAUUGGGCCAAAAGAUCCAGUAUCUUCUGGAAAUUGAAUCUCCUCCAGGUCGAACAGUCUCAGGAUGUGGUCUGCAUGUUAGCACUGAGUCGUCUCUGUGGAUCCAGAAGAAUUCAUUUGAAGAAGAAAGCAGAAGAAGCUGCCGUGAGCCACUACAGGAGUCAGUUUUCCCAGGAUGGAGCCGCC
rnacentral:lncRNA from 1 species